UAACAAGGAUUCCCCUAGUAACUGCGAGUGAAGCGGGAAGAGCUCAAAUUUAAAAUCUGGCGGCCUUCUGGACGUCCGAGUUGUAGUCUGGAGAAGUGUUAUCCGCGUCGGACCGUGUACAAGUCUCCUGGAACGGAGCGUCAUAGAGGGUGAGAAUCCCGUCCAUGACACGGACGCCCGAUGCUUAUGUGAGGCACUCUCAAAGAGUCGAGUUGUUUGGGAAUGCAGCUCAAAAUGGGUGGUAAAUUCCAUCUAAAGCUAAAUAUUGGCGAGAGACCGAUAGCGAACAAGUACCGUGAGGGAAAGAUGAAAAGCACUUUGGAAAGAGAGUUAAAGAGUACGUGAAAUUGUUGAAAGGGAAACGCUUGAAGUCAGUCGCGUCCCGCGGAACUCAGCCUGGUUUCGACCUGGUGUACUUUCCAUGUGGACGGGUCAACAUCAAUUUCGGCCUGUGGACAAGGGCGAGGGGAAUGUGGCGUUGCUUCGGCGACGUGUUAUAGCGCCUCGUCGCAUACACUGGUUGGGAUUGAGGACCGCAGCACGCCCUUGUGGCCGGGGGUUCGCCCCACGUAACGUGCUUAGGAUGUUGGCAUAAUGGCUUUAAGCGACCCGUCUUGAAACACGGACCAAGGAGUCUAACAUGCUUGCGAGUGUUCGGGUGGAAAACCCUUGCGCGUAAUGAAAGUGAAAGUUGGGAAGCUCCGCGAGGGGGUGCACCGACGCCCGGCCCUGACGUUCUCUGACGGUGCCGCGGUAGAGCACGUAUGUUGGGACCCGAAAGAUGGUGAACUAUGCCUGAAUAGGGCGAAGCCAGAGGAAACUCUGGUGGAGGCUCGUAGCGAUUCUGACGUGCAAAUCGAUCGUCAAAUUUGGG
rnacentral:rRNA from 1 species